rnacentral:rRNA from 1 species
AACGAACGCUGGCGGCAUGCCUAACACAUGCAAGUCGAACGAGACCUUCGGGUCUAGUGGCGCACGGGUGCGUAACGCGUGGGAACCUGCCCUUAGGCUCGGAAUAACUCCCCGAAAGGGGUGCUAAUACCGGAUAAUGUCUUCGGACCAAAGAUUCAUCGACCUUGGAUGGGCCCGCGUUGGAUUAGCUAGUUGGUAGGGUAAAAGCCUACCAAGGCGACGAUCCAUAGCUGGUCUGAGAGGAUGAUCAGCCACACUGGGACUGAGACACAGCCCAGACUCCUGCGGGAGGCAGCAGUGGGGAAUAUUGGACAAUGGGCGAAAGCCUGAUCCAGCAAUGCCGCGUGAGUGAUGAAGGCCUUAGGGUUGUAAAGCUCUUUUACCCGGGAUGAUAAUGACAGUACCGGGAGAAUAAGCACCGGCUAACUCCGUG